rnacentral:rRNA from 1 species
UACGUAGGGUGCAAGCAUUAUCCGGAAUUAUUGGGCGUAAAGAGCUCGUAGGCGGUCUGUCGCGUCUGCUGUGAAAUCUGGGGGCUCAACCCCCAGCCUGCAGUGGGUACGGGCAGACUAGAGUGCGGUAGGGGAGAUUGGAACUCCUGGUGUAGCGGUGGAAUGCGCAGAUAUCAGGAAGAACACCGAUGGCGAAGGCAGAUCUCUGGGCCGUAACUGACGCUGAGGAGCGAAAGCAUGGGGAGCGAACAGG